CCCCUCCAUCCCCUCUCACCCGCAAACCCCUCCAUCCCCUCUUCCCACACAAACCCCUCCAUCCCCUCUCCUGCACAAACCCCUCCAUUCCCCUCUUCCCUCACAAACCCCUCCAUUCCCUCUCCCGCACAAACACCUCCAGGGAUGGAGAGCAUGAGGCCGUUUCCUCUCAUCCUCUCGCCUGUCGCUCGGGAGAAGAGACCAGCACCCACCUCUCCACAACCUCCUUCCAGGGAGCUCUUAGAAAGCACAGAAAUGAACGUGAAGCUGCCACAUUAACUGGCCUGGUUGUUGGAGGAGAGAACAUUUGCAGCCAUCACUCAUCACGGUACCAAAGCCUUGUGACCUGGCAUGCGUUGGGCUCGGCUUCCUUGAGGCUUUGCUCCCAGCACAACCAAAGGACAACCAAAGUUGAGAAUGGCAGCAUGGAAAACUGGGGCAUUGUGUGUCACCAAAGACUAAAUGCAAUCCCCAAUCUCGUCC